UGUCUUUUUUGUGCUAUAGGCUUGUGAGAAGUUUCUAUCAUUGAGGAAAGGUACAAAGUCGGAUGUUGCUGCUGUCUUAGAAGAGAUAGAAAUAUUAAUUUAGUUAUAGGCAUAUUUCAGUACCUCCACAUUGCAAGGUCUUCAUUCGAGCAGGCUCGCUUCAAUCUGGUCACAGUUCUUUCUAAUGUCGAGGCCAAGAAGAGGUUUGAGUUUUUGGAAGCUGUUAGUGGGGCAAUGGAUGCUCACCUUCGAUAUUUCAAACAAGUAU